rfam:Parcubacteria group bacterium RIFCSPHIGHO2_01_FTLL_47_10b rifcsphigho2_01_scaffold_3161, whole genome shotgun sequence.
GGGCCAGUAGUUCAGCGGCUAGAACGCUUCAUUUGCAAUGAAGAGGUCGUGGGUUCGAUUCCCACCUGGUCCA